rnacentral:rRNA from 1 species
GAUGAACGCUAGCGGCAGGCUUAAUACAUGCAAGUCGAGGGGCAUCAAGGUACACGAAAGUGUAUUGUUGGCGACCGGCGGACGGGUGAGUAAUAGGUAGGUAACCUACCUCAUACUGAGGCAUAGCUGGGAGAAAUUCCAGGUAAUUCCUCAUGAGGUUAUAUGACACAUGUGAUAUAAUCAAAGGUAUCGCAAGGUACUGGUAUGAGAUGGGCUUACUGACCAUUAGCUAGUUGGUGAGAUAAGAGCUCACCAAGGCGAAGAUGGUUAGGGGUUUUGAGAGAGAGAUCCCCCACAUUGGAACUGAGAUACGGUCCAGACUCCUACGGGAGGCAGCAGUAGGGAAUAUUGGGCAAUGGGCGGAAGCCUGACCCAGCCAUGCCGCGUGAAGGAAGACGGCCUUAUGGGUUGUAAACUUCUUUACUAUGCGACUAACUAGAUUUACGAGAUAAUUCUAUAGAAUGUAGCAUAGCAAAAAGCACGG